UACAUCGGAACGUACCUUAUCGUGGGGGAUACGCAGCGAAAGCUGUGCUAAUACCGCAUACGCCCUGAGGGGGAAAGCGGGGGAUCGAAAGACCUCGCGCGAUUAGAGCGGCCGAUGCCUGAUUAGCUUGUUGGUGGGGUAAAAGCCCACCAAGGCGACGAUCAGUAGCUGGUCUGAGAGGACGAUCAGCCACACUGGGACUGAGACACGGCCCAGACUCCUACGGGAGGCAGCAGUGGGGAAUUUUGGACAAUGGGGGAAACCCUGAUCCAGCAAUGCCGCGUGAGUGAAGAAGGCCUUCGGGUUGUAAAGCUCUUUUGUCAGGGAAGAAACACCGGCUCUAACACAGUCCGGGAAUGACGGUACCUGAAGAAUAAGCACCGGCUAACUACGUGCCAGCAGCCGCGGUAAUACGUAGGGUGCAAGCGUUAAUCGGAAUUACUGGGCGUAAAGCGUGCGCAGGCGGUUAUACAAGACAGGCGUGAAAUCCCCGGGCUUAACCUGGGAAUGGCGCCUGUGACUGUAUAGCUAGAGUGUGUCAGAGGGGGGUAGAAUUCCACGUGUAGCAGUGAAAUGCGUAGAUAUGUGGAGGAAUACCAAUGGCGAAGGCAGCCCCCUGGGAUAACACUGACGCUCAUGCACGAAAGCGUGAGGAGCAAACAGGAUUAGAUACCCUGGUAGUCCACGCCCUAAACGAUGCUGACUAGUUGUUCGGGAUUUACAUCCUGAGUAACGUAGCUAACGCGUGAAGUCAGCCGCCUGGGGAGUACAGUCGCAAGAUUAAAACUCAAGGAAUUGACGGGGACCCGCACAAGCGGUGGAUGAUGUGGAUUAAUUCGAUGCAACGCGAAAACCUUACCUACCCUUGACAUGUCACUAACGAAGUAGAGAUACAU
rnacentral:rRNA from 1 species